rnacentral:ribozyme from 11 species
UUCUACCGUUCUUUUUUCUGCCUCUUUUUUUCCUUCUUUUUUUUUUACUUGAGGAGCUGCAGGGAACGUUUUGAAGGUUUCUGUCGUAAACGAAUGGACGAACGUCAGAGCGUCUGAGAGAGACAUGCAACAGACACGAUGAUUAGAGAAGAAGAGA